UGACCGUGGCAUUAAGUCCUCGGACGGAAAAGCCGUUGUCGCGGCCCGAGUCGGGGGCAUCGUACUGGUUCGGGGAGACUCUGGGUUGAUUUCACCGUUUCCUACAAAUGACCUCAAGCCCUUGGCCGGAGCCACUCAGAACGGACUAUUUGUCUACUCUCUCUCAAAGGCUGGGAAGGGGCUCCCGCAAGGCCUCGGCUGUAAACCCGUUGUGCUUCCUGAGUAGCUUCCCAGCGACAACCCGCCGUCCCACUUGGGACACUGGCUUCCUGGUCAGCUGCCUGGAAGGAGGGACGCCGGCCUCUGACCAACUGCCCGAGUGGAGCCCACCGCCCGGGGACCCUGGACUGGAACGGCAGCCCCAGAAACACGGGCUGGGCUGCAGGAGCUUUAAGAUGUGCUUUGAGGCUGGCAUUUCUGCCAGCAAAAUUCUAAAUUCUGCGUGAUCCGUGGUCACCUUAAGGUCACGACCUUCAGUUAUGCUCCAUCGACUCUCCCAAGGAACCCAGCAGACCCGUCCCCUGGGUCACGCCCGGGCUGGUUUGCUGUCGUCAGCGGCGUGGCCGAGAGGGAACGUUGAGCCGGCGCCACCUGGAGCUGCCUGGCCCCGCUCCCGCCGUCGUGCUUCUCAGUUGUCUGGAGUUUAAGCACACGUGAUGGACACUGGAGGUGCUGAGAUGAGGAUAUGCUGGUGGCCAGAGGACGGGACACAGGUGCAAGCGGCAGGUUUUAACCCAGGUGCGGACUUUCUACCAAAGAAGCAGGGAGGAUGUAUCAGAUGCACAUUGACUGCUCUGUGAUGGUCCUGGACCUCGAGGGAGGUUAGUUUGGGACAGAAGACCAGAGGGGAGGGGCUUCCCUGGCGGUCCAGUGGUUAAGAGUCUGCACUUCCACUGCAGAGGGCACGGGUUUGAUCCCUGCUCUGGGAACUAAGAUCCCACAUGCCACAAAAUGUGGGGAAAAAAGAAAAAAAAGAAAAAGAAAAAGAAAACCAUAGGGGAGCUGUUUCCUACAGGAGCACAGAAUCAGGGAACCAGCUCUGACUCCACGUUGGUUUUAUAAGCAUGAUUAGAUGUGUGAAAAAAUAAGCAACGUCUACUCUUCUAAAGAGUGUCUUUUAAGAGAGAUUUGUUUAAACCAUGCCUCCUCUUUUCCCCAAUAAGGAGAAAAGUACACACUGAAAUAAGGACGUACAGCAUCCAGGGUUAAUCUAUGGGUAAAUGAGAUGAUCUAUUAACUCUGGCACAGAUUCCUCGGGACGUAACAGGACUCAUGUUAGGGUUUAAGGACUUGGCGCUUCCUAGGUUUAUUGCUGUGUGCUCUUAUAGGAGGUUACUUAUGUCUCAGUUUCUUCACCUGCUAGUUGGGGCUAAUAAUGCUUAUCUCACAGACUCUUGUAGGAUUACAUGAGGGAGCACAUGUGACGUACAGCGCCUGACAUGUAACCACUGCUCAGUGAGCAUGAGCUGUGUAUGGUGACUGGUGAGGACACCCAUGUGUCCUACUGCCUGCAUUCUGUGAGCCUUCUGUGGGCCCCUCACACUCAAAGAUCACACAAGCCUUUUGCUCCGCCAUUAACCCUAGUUUAUAUUGAGUUGGCCAAAAAGUUUGUUUGGGUUUUUUUUGUAAGAUCUUAUAAUAACAUAACAUAAAAGUGGUA